UAGCUAGUUGGUGAGGUAAAGGCUUACCAAGGCGACGAUCUGUAGCGGGUCUGAGAGGAUGAUCCGCCACACUGGAACUGAGACACGGUCCAGACUCCUACGGGAGGCAGCAGUGGGGAAUUUUGGACAAUGGGGGCAACCCUGAUCCAGCCAUGCCGCGUGAGUGAAGAAGGCCUUCGGGUUGUAAAGCUCUUUCGGCCGGGAAGAAAUCGCAUGGGCCAAUACCCUGUGUGGAUGACGGUACCGGAAUAAGAAGCACCGGCUAACUACGUGCCAGCAGCCGCGGUAAUACGUAGGGUGCGAGCGUUAAUCGGAAUUACUGGGCGUAAAGCGUGCGCAGGCGGUUUUGUAAGACAGGCGUGAAAUCCCCGGGCUUAACCUGGGAACUGCGUUUGUGACUGCAAGGCUAGAGUACGGCAGAGGGGGGUGGAAUUCCACGUGUAGCAGUGAAAUGCGUAGAGAUGUGGAGGAACACCAAUGGCGAAGGCAGCCCCCUGGGUCGAUACUGACGCUCAUGCACGAAAGCGUGGGUAGCAAACAGGAUUAGAUACCCUGGUAGUCCACGCCCUAAACUAUGUCAACUAGGUGUUGGGUGGGUAAAACCAUUUAGUACCGUAGCUAACGCGUGAAGUUGACCGCCUGGGGAGUACGGCCGCAAGGUUAAAACUCAAAGGAAUUGACGGGGACCCGCACAAGCGGUGGAUGAUGUGGAUUAAUUCGAUGCAACGCGAAAAACCUUACCUACCCUUGACAUGCCAGGAACUUGCCAGAGAUGGCUUGGUGCCCGAAAGGGAGCCUGGACACAGGUGCUGCAUGGCUGUCGUCAGCUCGUGUCGUGAGAUGUUGGGUUAAGUCCCGCAACGAGCGCAACCCUUGUCGUUAAUUGCCAUCAUUUAGUUGGGCACUUUAACGAGACUGCCGGUGACAAACCGGAGGAAGGUGGGGAUGACGUCAAGUCCUCAUGGCCCUUAUGGGUAGGGCUUCACACGUCAUACAAUGGUCGGUACAAAGGGUUGCCGAGCCGCGAGGCGGAGCCAAUCCCAGAAAGCCGAUCGUAGUCCGGAUUGCAGGCUGCAACUCGCCUGCAUGAAGUCGGAAUCGCUAGUAAUCGUGGAUCAGCAUGUCACGGUGAAUACGUUCCCGGGUCUUGUACACACCGCCCGUCACACCAUGGGAGCGGGUUCCGCCAGAAGUAGGUAGCCUAACCGCAAGGGGGGCGCUUACCACGGCGGGGUUCGUGACUGGGGUGAAGUCGGAACAAGGUAGCCGUAGGGGAACCUGCGGCU
rnacentral:rRNA from 1 species